rnacentral:rRNA from 1 species
AUUGAACGCUGGCGGCAGGCCUAACACAUGCAAGUAGAGCGGAGCGGCGGACGGGUGAGGAAUGCCUAGGAAUCUGCCUGGUAGUGGGGGAUAACGUCCGGAAACGGGCGCUAAUACCGCAUACUAUCAGAUGAGCCGAGGUCGGAUUAGCUAGUUGGUGGGGUAAAGGCUUACCAAGGCGACGAUCCGUAACUGGUCUGAGAGGAUGAACAGUCACACUGGAACUGAGACACGGUCCAGCCUCCUACGGGAGUCAGCAGUGGGGAAUAUUGGACAAUGGGCGAAAUCCUGAUCCAGCCAUGCCGCGUGUGUGAUGCAGGUCUUCGUAUUGUAAAGCCCUUUAAGUUGGCAGGCGUUACCUACAGAAUAAGCACCGGCUAACUUCGUGCCAGCAGCCGCGGUAAUAC